rnacentral:rRNA from 1 species
GACGAACGCUGGCGGCGUGCUUAACACAUGCAAGUCGAGCGAUGAAGUUCCUUCGGGAAUGGAUUAGCGGCGGACGGGUGAGUAACACGUGGGUAACCUGCCUCGUAGAGGGGAAUAGCCUUUCGAAAGGAAGAUUAAUACCGCAUAAGAUUGUAGUAUCGCAUGAUACAGCAAUUAAAGGAGUAAUCCGCUAUGAGAUGGACCCGCGUCGCAUUAGCUAGUUGGUGAGGUAGCGGCUCACCAAGGCGACGAUGCGUAGCCGACCUGAGAGGGUGAUCGGCCACAUUGGGACUGAGACACGGCCCAGACUCCUACGGGAGGCAGCAGUGGGGAAUAUUGCACAAUGGGGGAAACCCUGAUGCAGCAACGCCGCGUGAGUGAUGACGGUCUUCGGAUUGUAAAACUCUGUCUUCUGGGACGAUAAUGACGGUACCUGAGGAGGAAGCCACGGCUAACUACGUGCCAGCCGCCGCAGUAACAC